rnacentral:rRNA from 1 species
GAUGAACGCUGGCGGCGUGCCUAAUACAUGCAAGUCGAGCGAACGGACGAGAAGCUUGUUUUUCUGAUGUUAGCGGCGGACGGGUGUGUAACACGUGGAUAAUCUCCCUAUAAGUCUGGGAUAACUUCGGGAAACCGGAGCUAAUACCGGAUAAUAUUUUGAACCGCAUGGUUCAAUAGUGAAAGACGGUCUUGCUGUCACUUAUAGAUGGAUCCGCGCUGCAUUAGCUAGUUGGUAAGGUAACGGCUUACCAAGGCAACGAUGCAUAGCCGACCUGAGAGGGUGAUCGGCCACUGAGGAACUGAGACGCGGGCCAGACUCCGACGGGAGGCAGCAGUAGGGAAUCUUCCGCAAGGAGCGGAAGCCUGACGAAGCGACGCCACGUGAGUGAAGAAGGUCUUCGUAUCGUAAAACUCUGUUAUUGGGGAAUAACAUAUGUGUAAGUAACUGUGCACGUCUUGACGGUACCUAUUCAGAAAGCCACGGCUAACAACGU